rnacentral:rRNA from 1 species
GAUGAACGCUGGCGGCGUGCUUAACACAUGCAAGUCGAACGGAGUUGAUUUAAGGAAGCAAGCUUGCUUGAAGAAUUGAAUUAACUUAGUGGCGGACGGGCGAGUAACACGUGAGCAACCUACCUCUUACAGGGGAAUAACAACGGGAAACCGUUGCUAAUACCGCAUGAUAUGUGCUGAAGGCAUCUUUGGCACAUCAAAAGAGCAAUCUGGUGGGAGAUGGGCUCGCGUCUGAUUAGCUAGUUGGUAAGGUAACGGCCUACCAAGGCGACGAUCAGUAGCCGGACUGAGAGGUCGAACGGCCGCAUUGGGACUGAGACACGGCCCAGACUCCUACGGGAGGCAGCAGUGGGGAAUAUUGGGCAAUGGGCGAAAGCCUGACCCAGCAACGCCGCGUGAAUGAUGAAGGCCUUCGGGUUGUAAAAUUCUUUGGACAGGGACGAAGAAAGUGA